GACAGAGGGUGCAAACGUUGUUCGGAAUUACUGGGCGUAAAGCGCGCGUAGGCGGUUAUGCAAGUCGGGUGUGAAAGCCCCGGGCUCAACCCGGGAAGUGCAUUCGAUACUGCGUAUCUAGAGUACUGGAGAGGAUGGUGGAAUUCUCGGUGUAGAGGUGAAAUUCGUAGAUAUCGGGAAGAACACCGGUGGCGAAGGCGGCCAUCUGGACAGAUACUGACGCUGAGACGCGAGAGCGUGGGGAGCAAACAGG
rnacentral:rRNA from 1 species